rnacentral:lncRNA from 1 species
AAGUCCCUGAAAUGUUGUGAAAUUAACGUUAACAUAGCUUUCGUUAUUUAAACAAAUGUAAAGUACAACAGAAGUCGAGAGGUAUAAACUUCCUUCUAGGUAGAAAAUCCAGAGAUUGCACGGUAAAACUAAAAAAGGGUCUAUAGUUUACAAUAUCAAAUCAAUAGUAAUCACAUUAAUUGACACUUAACAAAAUCAGAUGAAUUCAAUGUUUUAUAUAAAUAUCCAAAUUAACCCUUUUAGAAUUUUAAGAAAUAUAACUAAGAAUACAGAAUCAAAUUGUAUGCACUACUUAUACACCAUCACUCUCACUUUCAACUUUUUUCUACCGCCACCGGCCCUUAAAUAACCUAAGAACACAGAAAAUUAUUUAAACAUUAACGAGUCAAUACUUGAAAACAACAAUAAAAAAAACUAUCAAUUAAAGGGCCAUAUAUAUAUAUAUGUUAAGAUGACAACUAUUGAAAUACAAACACCUAUAAUUUCUCAGCCGGCAAUUUCUCAAGAAUAUAUGUUAUUUUAUGCAAGUAUUACAUCAUGUGUUACAAGGCUCGAUCUACUCGCAAAAAUAAAAUUGUCAUUGACUCAACUAUACGAACGCAACAUCGACAGAAAAUAACAUUUUCAUGCAUUGUUAUCAACGUAGAUGUAGUAAACAUGGUAAAGUAAGAUAAGAAAAAAGAAAAAUAUACCAAUAACAUCUGAAAAAAAAUAGAAAAAAUUUAAAUUACAAAAAUACUGAACUCCUAGGAAAAUUCAUGACUGAAAGUCCCUAAUUCAAUGUCAAAAUCAAAAGCACAAAUCAAACAAAUGGACAAAGUUACCAAUUUAAAAACAAAAGCAAGAUUAAUGAUAAGAACAACG